GAGGGUAUAACUCAGUGGUAGAGCAUGUGCUUAGCAUGCAUGAGGUCCUGGGUUCUCCCCAGUACCUCCA
rnacentral:tRNA from 1 species